CCAAUAGGUUGAAAUCCGCGUAUAAACACUUUCUGCAACAAUUUUCUUUGACUGUAGAAUAUAUGCUCCGUUAACCCUGAUGUUUGAUGUUUGAUGCUCAGUUUACCCUUCUGACCAACCUAAUAGACUCGCCAAUCAUGAACUCGUUGUAGAUGCUGGAACUUUUCUUUCAAUUACCGUACAUCCCUGUUAAUACGGUUCCGAUGUUGCUCGUUGAGCUCUGAUUGAUGAUUUCUGGAACUUUUUCUUUCAUUUUCCAUACAUCCAUGUUUGUAUGGUUGAAGUUUAAGCUUGUUGCCUUUGAAUUAUUGUCUUAUUAUUCACCUUUCCUAAUGACCUAUGUUUUCUCUUGAUUCUUAUUCAUCUAGAAGCUUCAAACGACUAUUUUGCUUAUUAAUUAUGAGCACUUUACAAUUGAUAUAUUUUUAUUGAACACACGUUAUUAUGAAAAAUUUUCCAACAAAUUCCCUUAAUUGACAAAAGCCAUGCUAAUUGAAAUUUUCAUCUCCCACCAUAAAUGGAAAAAAAUUUCCAACAUUUACAAUUAUUUGAAAUAAAAUCAAUUUCCCUUCCUGUAUAAAUGUUAAAAAAAAUCUUGUUUAACAUACCCGCAGUUUAUCAAAAAGUUUUUUAACUUAAACAUUUGAAAAUUAAUUUCGCAAAAAUAAUCCCCACGUUUCUGUAUUGUGUUAUGUGACAAUAUUUCAUAAUUUUGUACUUUUCGGUAAAAGAGAACUUAGCUCUUACAUUUGCUCCUGAAAAAAAAAAUAUAUAUAUAUAUAUAUGUUGGUUAGUCUUCUGAUUUCUUACCCAUAUUUGUUCAUUAACAUCAACUACACGAUCGCUUCUUCUUCAUCCUGUGUCCGUCGCAUUUGAUCUAUCAUCUCUUCGUCUUCUCUCUUAUGUGUCUGUUGCUUGUACUGCUGAAUUUCAAUUAAUGCUUUUUUAUGCGUCUUCUUCUGUAGAUGAACAAAUAGUUUAUUAGAUUUUAUUUUUGGUUUCAGCACUUUUAUUCUUAUUCUUCCUUAUAUCGACUUGGUCAUAAAUUAUCGAUUUGAAUCAUUGAUGCAUGUUAAAAUCAAUUUUUUUUAUAUAUUCAUGAUGUUUUUAUAUGAUUUUCAUUUUUUUUUAAAUAUUUGGAACAGGCAAGACCGACAGUCUUCUUCUUAUCUUUGGGAGCAAUAUUUGGCUGUUUUUUUUUUUUCAUUCAAGAACUUUAUCGUACCAUUACAGUACCGUACCUUGAUGAAAUCAGGAAGUUUGUUUUUCCUGGUGGUAGCUGGGUAUACCAAACCGAACCAUUUUUCAUUUUCUUUGUUUACCAUAACGUUUUCUUUUUUGAUUGUUUUUCGUUUCAUGGUCAUGUUAUUCAUUCAAGAACUUUUUUGUAUCGCUGGAUACAGUACCUUGACGAAUCAGGAAUGUCUCUAUUCCUGGCGGUAGCUUGGUUUACCAGACCAGACCAUUGAUUUAUUUAUUUAUUUUUUUUUUCAUUUCUGGACCCAAGGUAUUCAUUAUUGUUUGAUGGCUUAUUUAUUAUUCAUUCAAGCACUAUGUGUAUCAAUGGAUACAGUACCUUGAUGAAUCAGGAAUGCUGCAUUCCUGGUGGUAGCUUGGUUUACCAGACCGCGCCAUUUUCGUUUUUUAUCGAUUCUUCGUUUCUUCGCGUUUUUUUGUUUUUUUUUAUCAUUUCGUGGCAUAUUUAUUUCAUUUAUUAUUUAUUAUUCAUUCAAGAACUUUUUAGUAUCGUUAGAUACAGUACCUUGAUGAAUCAGGAGUGCUGUAUUCCUGGUGGUAGCUAGGUUUACCAAACCAUGCCAUUUUCGUUUUUCCGUUUUCUUUAGCAUAGUUUUUUUUUUCAUAUUUCAUGUUUUAUAUUUCUUGGCAUAUUUAUUAAGCAUAUUAUUUAUUAUUCAUUCAAGAACUUGUUAGUAUCGUAAGAUACAGUACCUUGAUGAAUCAGGAAUAUUGUCAUUCCUGGUAGUAGCUUGGUUUACCAAACCUCCGAUAUUCUGUACUUUAGCAAUGUGGGGAAAACAAAACUGUCCAAUUCCAUACUUUUCAUUUUCAAACAUCUCGUUUAAUAUAUUCUGCACAUUCAUUCUGGUGUGGCCAACACCUUGUCCAAUCAUUCAUUCUUGCAAACAAACAUAGGUAAGUAGAUAAAACUAUUGCCUGACUUUUAACUUUCCAAAUGGUACAGAAUUUGACGACUCGUCGACAAUGUAAUUUCCAUUAUAUGCCAUAUUUUUUUUUAGUUUCCGAUGCCAGAUUUAGUUUUUUUUGUAUAUUUUUAUCUUUAUCUUUCUCUAUCCAAUGGAUAUGGUGCACCUUGGUCCGAAUAAUGUUCAUAUGAAUUUGUAUUAAUUGUAUUAAUGGUUCUGUAUCAGCCUCCGGUUGUAUGUAUUUGUCCCUUUAUUCGUUGUUUUUUAUUAUUAUUUUAUUUUAUUUUUUUGACUUGUCGUAUUCAAAUUAGAAGUAUUCAGCUCAUUAUCGACCUGCUAGAAUUUCGUUACGAUUUUUUUUUGUAAUAGGGGUAUUUAGUUCAUUUUCGUUAAAAAAUUUCCCAUGGUAUAAACAUGCAUCAAUGUUCAUUAUUUCAUUCAUGGCUUUCUUGAAGAUUUUGGUAGUGUCUCUGUCAUUACUAUGUGAUCUAUUACCUAGGAAACUCGCUAUUAUGUUAUUAAGCGAUACUUUGCUUUAUCAUUUUUGUUAAAAAUAAAAUCUGCAAAUUGAUAGCGCGCUUAAAGCAGCAAUACGAUCGACCGGUGUACUCAUUCUCAAAAAAUACAUGUAUUACUCGUUUCCGUAUAUCUUAAACGUUUUAUUUUAUGUUAUUAUUCCUUAUUUUCAUGAUUUAGUAAUUAGUUCAAUCAGAUGUAUUUUUACCUAUAUAUUACACAAACUUAAAAAUUUCAUUACUGUUGUAGCCCAAUCAUUUAUACUUUGUUAUGCGAUUGUUUUCUCGAUUUGUUCUCGUUUUUUAACCCAUACAUUUGCAAUGAACUGAAGGUAUAAUCUAAUUGAUCCCUAAUCAAUGAUGAGAAAAAAAACAAGAUGCGAAUCUAUUCUUGUUUGUUUUUACCACAUGUUUCUUCCCUUGGAAAAUUAAAUCCAUUAUGUUUAUUGCAAACACACUUCUUCACUCCUUCUCUUCGCACACGAAGGCAUUGACACCCAAAAAUUCUACAGCAACAGUAAUUGCUGCGACAACAGUAAGUGGCUUGUGACGAUAGAAAAUGUGCAUCUGCAAGCAAAACGAAAACGUUGUCGCGUCUCUUUCCUUAUCCGUGAUAGCCGAAAGAAGAGAAAACAAAUUUCAGCUUCAUUCCGUUUUCGACUUGCAGUGCUAUAGGAUACCGGAGAAAAGAACAUGGGAUGUCACAUCGUCUUUAUUUGGGACAUGCAACUUAAAGAAUGCUCAGAAGUUAACCAGGUCAUUCGAUGGGACCUAGGCGUGUUCCGUGCAGUGGACUAUAUCUACCCGUACAACAAGGCCGGGGAUUCAGAGUGCGCGAAAAAAAAACAUAUCCAUAGAAAUUUAUGUCAAAUAAAUUUCGAAUCAUUCUAAUCCAUUUCUAAGUGCUUUUAAUAUUUUUAGUUAUUAUUAUUUUUUUUUUAUUUUAGAUAUUGUAUUGAUGUAUUCAAUAGUAGUGUCAAUGUGGGAACGAAAAAGGGAAAAAAAGGUAAGUUUUUUUUUCUUCCUUAUUAUUACUUUUAAGUUUAAAAUUUCAUAAAUGUUGGAGUUUAUUUUUUUUCGUAAGAUAUUUUUGUGUUAAACAACUUUCCAGAUUCUAAAAUUGGAAUGUUUUGAACCUUUACGUUAUUUGAAAAUUACAUUGCCUGACAAACUAUUGAAUAUUUAUUCUCAUAUUUCCCAAAUGAUCAAUGGACUUGAACGUUUAAACAUUUUUUUGCUUCCAAUGUACACAUCUAGCGAAAGACCGUGAAAUUGUUUCAAGAUUGUGUCACUAUUUCCUGACACCUAAGCAUUCUCUCUGAAUUGGAAAAAUGGAUUUUUUUUCAAUGUGACAUAACCUGUCCAAAUAUUGUGAAGGCUUUAUUUUUCUGAAUGCAAUAACAAAAUUUGAAGUACCUAAAAUAUUCCUCAAGAUGUCUUUCAAACUGGUAAACAAAUAACAAAAUUUUAAAUAGGACUAUUUCGAUCCAAUCAUAAUGGUUUCCCAAAGUUUUUCUUUCGUAUGGACAUUUCAUUACCUGACAGAAAGUUUUUAUUCCCAUUUAUGCAAUUCCCAUCUUGCAAUUAAGUUAAUUGAAUGCAGUUCUUUUAAUUAAAGUCGAUAUUUAAACAACAACAUUUUCUAGAUUUGUAUCUUGAAUGUUAUGAUAAUCAUAUUAUUUUUGUUUUAAGGUUCUUGCUAUUUUCAGGAUAAAUAUUUAAAUUAUUUUGUUUCAUUUUUCAAAACAUUUUUAACUUGGCAUACAUUUUCAUGCCAUUCCUGCAUUAUUAUUCAACAAUAACUAUAUCAUCCAGAUAAAUGAUGGUUAAAAUUAUCCUUGAUUUUAUAGUUUCCAAGAAUUCGAUUUUUUUUCAUGUUGCAUUUAAGGGAGUCCUGAUAACCUUGUUUAAUUUUUUUAGUUUUUUUUUUUUGCAAAUUUGUGUCUGCUAAAAAAAAAUCGGUAAGCACAAACGUUUGAAUUUCCCUUUAGAUUUAAAUGAAGUUGUUUAUUGUGAAAUUUGGCAGGAAAUUGAUUGGCACAAAACUCAUCGAGAUACAAAAAUGUCUGCAAUGCAUCUUGAAAUCUAUUGAGUUUUGGAAUGCAGUGGGAAGUGUUGAGAAGUUUUGUUGAACUGCUGCAGACAUUGCUCAAAAAAAUGCAAAUUGCUUGCAGCUGGUAAUUGCUUGGUAAAAAAAUGUAAACAUCAUAAUUCGGAAUAUUUUUAUGUUUUAUUUUUUUUUAUUUGCCAAAAUCUCUAUUUAUUAUUGCUUUGAAUUCCAUGAUUGCAAAUUUGUUUAAAGAAAUUUACAGCAUAAAUAGAACAUAAUAGAUGGUUAAAAAGCAUUCAUAUGAAAAAUGGAAUUAUUUAUAACUCAAUAAUUAUUUUUAAUUGCUUACAUUACUUUCCUCACUUCUGUUGUGUAUAGUAGCCUUGAAUUCACGAUUAUAAUUUUUCGAUUUAUCAAAAAGGUUUGUUCAAAUUCUUAACUGGAACACGCUUUUUGACUCUUUAGUUUUUUAGAUAUACAUACAGUUCAUUUGCACACGAAAAAAAUAGUUAAAAACAACGUGUGGAAGUUAACCGAAUGUUUGUAAAUUAUUCAAAAGUUUGCUGUUGUCCACUUUAAGAGUUCGUUUAAUUUCAACUUUAACAGAUUGGAUCAUUUUGAUUAUUUGCUUGCACUACAUUUUUAGUUGCACGUAAACAGUUCCUUGAUUUGCACAGUUUCGCACCAGUCAGAAAUGACGCACCAAAUUUCUUCUAAAACGGAAAUUCUUUUCCGCUGUCACCAACUGUAACGGGACCCCCCGGAUCACUUUCCAAAAUUGCAACCGAACGCGUUUACUUAAAGAUAUGUCAUCAUCUAUAAAAAUUCUCCAACACUUCUUAAAACUACACUACUUUAUUUUCCGAAUAUAAAUAUUUUAAUUUCCACAGUGCACUGAAUUAGAAAUGAACAUCUACAAAUGAAACACACUAACUGACUAUCUAAACCACUAAACUGAAUCACUAACUGCCUGAACUGAACUACUUUUUCACAAGUUUAAAUGGGAAAAGCCUAAGCAAACUGGUCUCAACUAAUUUUUCCAAGUUAACAUGGAUAACAAGAGUAGUCGAUAAGCCAAAAAUGGCGUCGAGCUCAAGCUCCAAGAUUAACAAUGGAAAAAUUCUAAACACAAACUGACUGACCUCGAUCCUUGGAUCUGCUACCCCUUAUAUAAGGGUCCUCUCCCUAACCAUCAACUCUUAUUCUCCUGAUCAUAAUAUGAUCCGAUCAAAAUUUUCCAGGACUCUCUCCGAGACCAGAGGGAAAUUUAUUUCCAAAUGCCCCAUGCAUAAUUGAUUAUUAAUUACGCUUUUCUAAUCUUUGCAUCUCCCACAUCCGUGAGAGCAAUUCUAAACUCUUCCCUACACGGAUGAUCAAUUUUCCCUAUGCCUCCCAUUUCGCCAUCUCACAUCCGCGAGAUUAAUUGAGCCUCCAGAACGAAUGGCCAAUUUAUUCUCUCCUCUGAGAUUCGGACCUCCCAAAAACUCUCCCCAAAACAAAACAGAAAGGCUAAAUCUCCGAUGCAUCAUAGCAUCCCCCAUCCACAUUCUCACAUCUGUGAGAUCAUAUCAAAAUUCUGAGGGGAGCGAAAGUACUCGCGAAUUCAAUCUCAAAAUUUCUUGCCUUAGUGGCUGAGUCAUCAAGGGCCACACCAAUCAUCAUCAUCCCCGAACUUGAUUUUUCAUGAACGCACCGGGCGAUCAUAAAUUUAUAGUGUUUACUUUUCUUCGUCGCCCGUCUUAGUUUUACGAUCACUCAUGCGUUAGAAUUUUCACGCCUUCUAAGCAUGGAUGUGUGGACGGUCGUCCGAUCGAUUCAAAACAUAAUUUUACGAUCCAAUUAUGAUCGUCGUCUGUGAUUACCUUUCUUUUCGGGGAAGGUUAUGCAUUUCCAAGUUUUUUCUUGUUGCAAAAACAAUCAGAUCAUUCUUCUCAACCCAUUUUACGAUCGGAUUUCUAGGCAAUUGUUUAUUUCAUCAAGACGACCCUGUAUGUACUUGAAUUUCGUCACCCAGAAUACAGGCACAGAAGGCUUCAACAUAUGUUGAAAACCAUGCCCGAUGUUUAUGCCAUAAAAUAUAAGCCGAGAUCCCAAAAUGUUGGUUUCCCUUUCACUUACUUU